AAGAGAUGCCUGCGCACUAAGAACUGCUAAUUCUUACCACCAUGGUUAAAAUCCACGGAUCCCUUA